GAUCAAAAGGUUUCUUUUGAGCAGCAUUUGGUGUUGAAACUUCAUUGACAAUUUCUAUUUCAGCAUUUGCUUCUUUUUCCAAAUCCAUGUGUCUCCACAGCGUGAAUGACCUAUAGGAAUGAGUGAAAAACUACCAGCGUCAAGAGGAAGAAAGGUCCUUUUCAUGGUAGUGGACUACUUCACAAAGUGGGUCGAGACGGAGGCUACCA
rnacentral:lncRNA from 1 species